CAGUUCACCUGGCAGGGGAGACACCAUGAUCAAUCAGGUGGUUUUCCCAGGGCAGGUGAUUGUCUCUGAUAUGUCUCCAUCGGAGGUCUAUAUUGAGCAGAUUCUUUUUGGUGUUGGGUGGUGGAACCAGAGCUUGCUCCAUCCACUC
rnacentral:snRNA from 1 species